UACGGGGGGGGCAAGCGUUGUUCGGAUUUACUGGGCGUAAAGGGCGCGUAGGCGGAUAGAUAAGUCAGAUGUGAAAUUCCAAGGCUCAACCGUGGAACUGCAUUUGAAACUAUUUGUCUUGAGGGCGGGCGGAGAGGGCGGAAUUCCACGUGUAGCGGUGAAAUGCGUAGAUAUGUGGAGGAACACCGGUGGCGAAAGCGGUUUUCUAGCUUAUACCUGACGCUGAGGCGCGAGAGCAAGGGGAGCAAACAGG
rnacentral:rRNA from 1 species